AAGUAGUAAACAGGCACCCUUGUCAGACAUAGUGGCUCCCAACUCGUUAGUUGUCAGGGCAUGUUACAACACGCCAACUUCAGACACCCUGGCGCCACUGUCCAUCACACGCCAACUUCAGACACCCUGGCGCCACUGUCCAUCACACUGUGCUGCGUGGACUAUAUAAGAUGCGCACAAACAUCGAGGAAAACACAGCACACAUCAGACGGGGACUCCAUGCAACACCUGCUUCUCAUCAGUGAAUAUUUGGAUCCGUUUCUCUCUCUCUUUCAUUUCUUUCUUGCUUUCUAUCUUUCUAUCGCGGACGUGUCAGGAUCCAACGUCCAUCAUUCGUGCCGUGUGUGCAUUCCGUGCGUCCUUGAAUUACAACCACGGUUUACACUGUUGCUCAUGAGUGGACAUCCAUUAAUUCCUGUUCUAACCGGACAGCCUGUGCUGUAUACCUGAUCCAGUGUCCCUCUUAUACAGUCCUUUACCCUGUCCAUCACCGGACACCCAUUUUUAUACCGAUGCUCAGAAAUAUUGCAGAGAGAAUUACACUGAUCUCGCCAGGACAAUGAUAACAUUUUAACAUAGCCUAUGGAAAUCCAAAGUUUACACAUUAUCAUCACGCACAGAAAUUGCAAAACUAGUUUUAAAACCGCUAAGUUCCAACUGUUAAACAUGGCGAGAGGCUGGGCUACGUGUGUGUGUGUAAAGUGUAAACCAGUGCAUCCUGACUUUCUAACUAUGCCUGUGUGUUGCGUGAGCGGCAGUCAGUCAACAACUCUUCGCAAAGUUUCCUUAUGAAACAAUAUGCUCGCUGAAAUUAUGGCAGGGACCGCCAGAUUAAACAUUAAAACUGCCUUCUGAGCACUGUAUCUACAGGCUGCCACCGAAAGAAGGAGGCUACCAGAAAGGCAUCUCUACUCCGUACGAUUUUACUUUCACUACGACAUUACUUUGAACAGACUAUCAAAAAAUUGCAAGGUGAUAUGAUAAAGUAAGGCACAGUUUACUUACAGUCGGUUUUUUUUUUUUUUUUGAAAAAAACGAUGCAAUCGUUUUCUGCCUUUUGGCACCCUUCAUCAUGCCGUGUUGGGGUCCUGAACUAGGAGGUGCUGUCCCCGAUAUGCCUGUCAAACUUGUUAUGGGUAACCAUAGCAACCAAGCUCGAGCUCGCAACCCGUGCAGUCUGCGCAGUUGCAACUAUGUAUGUACUGUUGUGCACCUCAAUAAACCGAAUGGUAAUUAGUCUUUUGAUUUUUCUGUGAGGUUUGCCUUAUGCAAAGAAAGACAGCAUAGACGUUUUUUCCUCCCUAUAAGUGGGGGGGACCGAACGAGGUGAAUUUAAAUCUGGGUGGGACGAAUCCCCCCCGUCCCCCCCUCUAUCUGCGCCCGUGCUCUUGCCCAUAGUCAGCUGGGAUGGGCUCCAGCUUGCCUGCAACCCUGCAUAGCAUAAGUGGUUACAGAUGAUGGAUCUGAUGCAAAUCUGAUUAACUGUCCACAUUAUGUAUUGCAUGUGAUCAGAUCUGAUCUAGGUGUCAAUCCUGAUUUUCAGUCUUAUUCACAUUGGUUGCUAUAGUAAUGACACUGCCUGUGGAAAUAAUGACCUUGCACCUGAAAAUAUAUUGUUGACAUUAACAAACCAAAAUGGACAGUCAUGAAAUGGGCUAGCUUAUUUACCACGUGGCAAUGCUUGUAGAGCCGCAGCACAGGUUUUAUAACUAUAAUGAGACUGCGUCAGAGACAGAGGACAAUUGCCUGCUCCGUUUUGUUUCAUGCACCACCAAACUAGCGUCCCUGCAAACACGUACAGUUGGGGCCCGCAUGGGUCUCAUCUGGGCUAGUUGGGCUUCGGGUGGGCAUGGGCUUCGAGUGGGCUUUGUUGCUGGGCCCCACAUGGGCAAUGGGUGGGCAUUGAAUGGGCUAAAUUAACAUGGGCAAUAGGUGGGCUUUGUUGUUGGGCCCCACAUGGGCAGUUGGUGGGCAUUAAAUGGGCUAUUUAGCAUGGGCAAUAAGUGGGCUUUGUUGUUGGAGCCCAUAUGGGCAAUGGGUGGGCAUUGAAUGGGCUAAAUUAACAUGGGCAGUAGGUGGGCUUUGUUGUUGGGCCUCACAUAGGCAGUUGGUGGGCAUUAAAUGGGCUAUUUAGCAUGGGCAAUAAGUGGGCUUUGUUGUUGGAGCCCAUAUGGGCAAUGGGUGGGCAUAGAAUGGGCUAAAUUAACAUGGGCAAUAAGUGGGCUUUGUUGUUGGGCCCCACAUGGGCAGUUGGUGGGCAUUAAAUGGGCUAUUUAGCAUGGGCAAUAAGUGGGCUUUGUUGUUGGAGCCCAUAUGGGCAAUGGGUGGGCAUUGAAUGGGCUAAAUUAAGCAUGGGCAGUAAGUGGGCUCCAGCAAGGCUCCAUUUCAAUUCAAUUCAAAAACACAAGAAUUUUACUCCCACACCUCUAAGAUGCCAUAACAUAAUAUAAACAAUACAAUGUUAAUUACAAUUGAAAAUAAAAUUUCUCAAUUUUAGAGCAUAAAAGAUAAAGUUUGCUACAACCUAAAGCACACAUAUUCCGAGCACAACAAAGUUUGCAAUAACUGAAAAGAAAGCAGGCAUAUUCCAGUGCAACUCCUGCAGGAUAACAAAAGCAAGAAGCAAUGCAAACUGGGAAAUCUCCACCCCCUGUGAAAUGGAUACAUUUCGCGCAGUUUCUGCUGCUUGCUGACUGGUUUUUGUCUCUGCUGCCUGUGAAGAGAAGAGUGCACGCACGAGUUGGAUCACUUAACAAAAGCAACAUAUGAAAGUGCACAUGCAAAAUUAUUGCAAGAGGAACGUAGACAUACUGACGUAAGUACAGAGCCUGAGUGUUCGGACAGUAUGGGCCGGGGGAAGCGAAAAAAGCGGUGAGUCUAUUUGAAUUUUAUAUAUAUAAUAUGGUAUAUACACAGUGUUUACUGUAUAUUAACUAAGUCGGCGUGUCGUCACUGUCGCGUUGCCAAAGUACUGCUACAGUGCCUAUACAAAGUCUACACACCCCUGUUCAAAUGUCAAGUUUUUGUGAUGUAAAAAAAUAACAAAGACAAAUAAUUUCACAACCUUUUUCACAUUUAAUAAAAAUGAUAACAUGUACAAUGCAAUUG